AGCAGCCGCGGUAAUUCCAGCUCCAAUAGCGUAUAUUAAAGUUGUUGCAGUUAAAAAGCUCGUAGUUGAAUUUCGAGACCGGCUUACUGGUCGUGCUAUUGUACGUACUGGUAUAAUCGGUUUCUCCUUUCUGACGAACUUUAAUGCCAUUAAUUUGGUGUUUUAGGGAAUCAGGACUGUUACUUUGAAAAAAUUAGAGUGUUUAAAGCAGGCUCACGCUUGAAUACAUUAGCAUGGAAUAACGGAAUAGGACGUUUGAUUCUAUUUUGUUGGUUUCUAGGAUCGACGUAAUGAUUAAUAGGGAUAGUUGGGGGCAUUAGUAUUCAAUUGUCAGAGGUGAAAUUCUUGGAUUUAUUGAAGACUAACUACUGCGAAAGCAUUUGCCAAGGAUGUUUUCAUUAAUCAAGAACGAGAGUUAGGGGAUCGAAGACGAUCAGAUACCGUCGUAGUCUUAACCAUAAACUAUGCCGACUAGGGAUCGGAUGAUGUUAAUUUUUAAUGGUCUCAUUCGGC
rnacentral:rRNA from 1 species